rnacentral:rRNA from 1 species
GUGGGGAAUAUUGGACAAUGGGGGGAACCCUGAUCCAGCCAUGCCGCGUGUGUGAAGAAGGCCUUUUGGUUGUAAAGCACUUUAAGCGAGGAGGAGGCUUACCUGGUUAAUACCUGGGAUAAGUGGACGUUACUCGCAGAAUAAGCACCGGCUAACUCUGUGCCAGCAGCCGCGGUAAUACAGAGGGUGCGAGCGUUAAUCGGAUUUACUGGGCGUAAAGCGCGCGUAGGUGGUUAAUUAAGUCAAAUGUGAAAUCCCCGAGCUUAACUUGGGAAGUGCAUUCGAUACUGGUUGGCUAGAGUAUGGGAGAGGAUGGUAGAAUUCCAGGUGUAGCGGUGAAAUGCGUAGAGAUCUGGAGGAAUACCGAUGGCGAAGGCAGCCAUCUGGCCUAAUACUGACACUGAGGUGCGAAAGCAUGGGGAGCAAACAGGAUUAGAUACCCGUGUAGUCC